AUUGAACGCUGGCGGCAGGCUUAACACAUGCAAGUCGAGCGGAGAUGAGGUGCUUGCACCUUAUCUUAGCGGCGGACGGGUGAGUAAUGCUUAGGAAUCUGCCUAUUAGUGGGGGACAACAUUCCGAAAGGAAUGCUAAUACCGCAUACGUCCUACGGGAGAAAGCAGGGGAUCUUCGGACCUUGCGCUAAUAGAUGAGCCUAAGUCGGAUUAGCUAGUUGGUGGGGUAAAGGCCUACCAAGGCGACGAUCUGUAGCGGGUCUGAGAGGAUGAUCCGCCACACUGGGACUGAGACACGGCCCAGACUCCUACGGGAGGCAGCAGUGGGGAAUAUUGGACAAUGGGGGGAACCCUGAUCCAGCCAUGCCGCGUGUGUGAAGAAGGCCUUAUGGUUGUAAAGCACCUUAAGCGAGGAGGAGGCUACUGAGACUAAUACUCUUGGAUAGUGGACGUUACUCGCAGAAUAAGCACCGGCUAACUCAGUGCCAGCCGCCGCAGUAAAAC
rnacentral:rRNA from 1 species